rnacentral:rRNA from 1 species
UACGGAGGGUGCAAGCGUUAUCCGGAUUUACUGGGUUUAAAGGGUGCGUAGGCGGACUUUUAAGUCAAAUGUGAAAGCUUGCAGCUCAACUGUAAGAUUGCGUUUGAUACUGGAAGUCUUGAAUAUGGUAGAAGUUGGCGGAAUAAAUCAUGUAGCGGUGAAAUGCUUAGAUAUGAUUUAGAACACCGAUUGCGAAGGCAGCUAGCUAUGUCAUAAUUGACGCUGAGGCACGAAAGCGUGGGGAUCAAACAGG